rnacentral:rRNA from 1 species
GUGGGGAAUCUUCCGCAAUGGACGAAAGUCUGACGGAGCAACGCCGCGUGAGUGAUGAAGGUCUUCGGAUUGUAAAGCUCUGUUAAUCGGGACGAAAGAGCCUAGUGUGAAUAAUGCUAGGAAGUGACGGUACCGGAAUAGAAAGCCACGGCUAACUACGUGCCAGCAGCCGCGGUAAUACGUAGGUGGCAAGCGUUGUCCGGAAUUAUUGGGCGUAAAGCACGCGCAGGCGGAUCUGCCAGUCUGUCUUAAAAGUUCGGGGCUUAACCCCGUGAUGGGAUGGAAACUACAGAUCUAGAGUAUCGGAGAGGAAAGUGGAAUUCCUAGUGUAGCGGUGAAAUGCGUAGAUAUUAGGAAGAACACCAGUGGCGAAGGCGACUUUCUGGACGAAAACUGACGCUGAGGCGCGAAAGCCAGGGGAGCGAACGGGAUUAGAAACCCGUGUAGUCC